GAGAAAAAGAAAGUACAAAUUUAUUGCUGAGCAAUAAAGACCCAGUGGGAUGUUUUCCAGAGCCUGGGCCCAGAGCCCUGGGGCUUUGGGUUUAUAUACCUUGUUCCAAACAGCAUUAAACAUUACAUAUUCAUAUAUUGCAGCAAAAUCAAACCAAUGAACAGGGGCGAAGCCCUUCCUAUGUCCAUGUAAAUAAGGAACGUUAAUGCAUCCACACGAAACACAUAGAACUGGGCAGAAGCCCCACUCAAUGCAAGGAGGUUUAUUUCUGUCAAAAUGUGGAGAUGGAGAGGCUGUAUUUGCAGAGGGCAUUUGAAGCUGAUACCCUGGUUCAAUUUAUUUUUCAUUUUCUUCCCAUCUAAGGCCUCCAGAGCAAGGAACUAUCCUGCCUGACGUAGGUAAAGGGGUUCAUUUUUCAGUCAUCUAUUAAUCCAAUGAUGCAUGAAUUUUAACAGCUGCAUGAGGUCUUGUGGGGAGAGGAAGGUUUCCUAGAAUUGCAGAAUUGAGGGUCAUCUAGUCCCACCCCUGCAGUGCAGGAAACUUUUGCCCCUCGUGGGACUCAAACCCACAUCCCUGGGGUUAAGAGUCUCAUGCUCUGCCAAAUCAGACAUCUCAAAAGGAAAACAAGAUUGAAGGUAAGGGAGCCCCUUUGAGGAUAAGAUUAUUUGUUGGGACGGUUAAAAGUAUUACUGUCUCUUUAAGAAGUAAGCAGCAGAGGGAAUUCUGGGAAAAGGAAGGAAAAUGCAAAGCAAGAGCAACCCAUUUUUCUUUUGUUAUUUCUGCUGAUUUUGACUGGAAUGAAUCCUCUCAAAGGGCCCUUGGAAAACUGACCAAUGUGCUUUUGGCAGAUAAAUGUUUUUUAUGUCAGUCACUCUGGUCUGGAGAGAAAAUUCCUGCUGGGCCUGAGAGGCAGAUUUAGUCUCCUCAGGAGAUACUGAGGUGGGCUUCAUUUUCCAACAAAUAAAAGAAAGGGAGCAGGGUCUCUCCAGAGAACGAGGCUCCUGAGAACGUGUAGAGUUCGGCUCCUGAGUCAGCGUCAGAAAAAGACACACGUCCCCCUUCAUAGUCCAGAGUCACCCGGAUCCUCCUGGGCUCCUCACUCAGGGCCAGAGGAGAGUAAUGAGGGGAGGUGCAGGCCAAGUACUCAUCUCCCCUCUUCCCCACAGCCCAGAUCCCUCUCUCAGGCUUUAAGGGGAAGAUGCCCUUUCUCUCCACAGACUUCCUGGCGACCCCA